rnacentral:rRNA from 1 species
AACGAACGCUGGCGGCAGGCCUAACACAUGCAAGUCGAGCGAGGACUUCGGUUCUAGCGGCGGACGGGUGAGUAACGCGUGGGAAUGUGCCCUUCUCUACGGAAUAGCCCUGGAAAACUGGGAGUAAUACCGUAUACGCCCUUUUGGGGAAAGAUUUAUCGGAGAAGGAUCAGCCCGCGUUGGAUUAGGUAGUUGGUGGGGUAAUGGCCUACCAAGCCGACGAUCCAUAGCUGGUUUGAGAGGAUGAUCAGCCACACUGGGACUGAGACACGGCCCAGACUCCUACGGGAGGCAGCAGUGGGGAAUCUUAGACAAUGGGGGCAACCCUGAUCUAGCCAUGCCGCGUGAGUGAUGAAGGCCUUAGGGUUGUAAAGCUCUUUCAGCUGGGAAGAUAAUGACGGUACCAGCAGAAGAAGCCCCGGCUAACUCCGUG